UUUCGCCCCUAUGCCCAAAUUUGACGAUCGAUUUGCACGUCAGAACCGCUGCGAGCCUCCACCAGAGUUUCCUCUGGCUUCACCCUAUUCAAGCAUAGUUCACCAUCUUUCGGGUCCCAACAGCCAUGCUCUUACUCAAAUCCAUCCGAAGACAUCAGGAUCGGUCGAUGGUGCACCCUAAAGGGAUCCCACCUCCGUUCACUUUCAUUACGCGCUCGGGCUUGACACCCAAACACUCGCAUAGAUGUUAGACUCCUUGGUCCGUGUUUCAAGACGGGCCGCUUACAGCCAUUACGCCAGCAUCCUAGCAGAUGCGCGGACCUCAGUCCAGGCUGGUCGCAUUACGCCUCCCCUAUAAGGCCACCCCGAAGGGAGGUACAUGACAGAGGCCUUUAUCCGACCGCCCAGACUGAUGCUGGCCUGCCCGCAGAAGAGUGCACCGGGCAAAAGCCCGGAUGAGCAACUACAGGCAAGUCUGGCUGCAAGCGCUUCCCUUUCAACAAUUUCACGUGCUAUUUGACUCUCUUUCCAAAGUGCUUUUCAUCUUUCGAUCACUCUACUUGUGCGCUAUCGGUCUCUGGCCAGUAUUUAGCUUUAGAAGAAAUUUACCUCCCAUUUAGAGCUGCAUUCCCAAACAACUCGACUCGUCGAAGGGGCUUUACACGGCGAAGGCCAGCGACCACGUACGGGAUUCUCACCCUCUGUGACGUCCUGUUCCAAGGAACUUGGACCGCUGCCAACGCCAAAGCGCCCUCUGCAAAUUACAACUCGGACCCUGAAAGAGCCAGAUUUCAAAUUUGAGCUGAUGCCGCUUCACUCGCCGUUACUAGGGCAAUCCCUGUUGGUUUCUUUUCCUCCGCUUAUUGAUAUGCUUAAGUUCAGCGGGGUAUCCCUACCUGAUCCGAGGUCAAGAGUUAAAAUGUAGGCUUCAUGGACGCAAGCGUUCAAGACAAGAUGCGCAAAAUGUGCUGCGCUCCCCAGGCUAGUACGCCGGCUGCCAAUUGCUUU
rnacentral:misc_RNA from 1 species